GGAACUUGAGCUACAUAAUGUCUCAACAUUUGGAGAUGACUGGUUAAACUGCUUAUGCAGUGCUAUUUUUCAAUAAGGCCUCGUCUGGACUGUUUUACGCCUGUUAUGGUUACUCAAACAAGGCAACGGUGCCUCCUUUUAACUCAGUCAAAUCGUGUUGUACGCUAUGCCUCCUGUUUGCUUUCAAUCAGGAGAGCAGAGAACUAUUGACAAUGGAGAAAGACUCACAGAGUAACGAGAGAGGGCCAUCAUCUUCAGAUUUUAUUCAGUAAUGUUGUGGAGCUCUAAUGUUGUAUCUUCAAGACUUCAACUAUUCAAAUCUUUAAUCUAUUUCCCCAUUUAGGAUACUUUGCAACCUCCGCAGUAUGUAGCAACUCCCAUAGGGUGCUUUUCAGUCUAUUGAGGAACUUGAGCUACAUAAUGUCUCAACAUUUGGAGAUUCAGCACAAGGUGGGAAUCUCCCAGACCACGAUCUGUGUUGGCAAGCAGCUGAGGAUGACAGCAUCCGUGGGGAGUAGAAUGACCACCCUUCAUCUCCAUGAUGGAAUGCGAUUUUUUUGAGGAUAUACAUUGUAUAUGAAGUUGAGAGAUUGAUACAAUCCACAGAGGAAAGAAAAUCUCAUACAUGCCGAAGGUACAUCUGAGACCUUCCUUCUAAAGUCCGCCAGAUCAGGGGAAGUUUGUAUUUGCAGUGAAGCAGCUGAGAAUGGAAGGAUCUUUUUCAUGGAGACCUUUGCCGGCAUACCAUCCAGAAGAUAUCAACUCUGUAUCUUGGCAGCCGUCUCCAUUGUGGUUUUUUAAACUGUUAUUGGAUGUCGCUGUCUUCUCAUGUCAGUCGUUUCUGUCCAUCUGAUUGUGUGUUGCUUUUCAUGAUGUGCUCUGUCCAGUAGGAACCUAGAAUGAAUUUUCUCAUGGUUCUGUUCAUUACGGCAUGAGUGAUUCUGUGUUGUGGACAAGCAAGAGGAUGCAUAUCUUUAAUGCCAAAUAUCUUUGUUCUUUUGGUGAUGGUGAAUUUAUCUGGCUCCCUCCUUUCCCUACUGUUGCCGUAAAUCUACAUAACCUAUGAUGCCACCUAGAAGACAGAUGCAUAUCUGGUCAGUUCUGUUAUUGUCAGAAAGAAGUUGCUAGUCACUCCUGGUAUAUUUAUUUGCGU